rnacentral:rRNA from 1 species
GUGGGGAAUAUUGGACAAUGGGCGAAAGCCUGAUCCAGCCAUGCCGCGUGUGUGAAGAAGGUCUUCGGAUUGUAAAGCACUUUAAGUUGGGAGGAAGGGCAGUAAGUUAAUACCUUGCUGUUUUGACGUUACCGACAGAAUAAGCACCGGCUAACUUCGUGCCAGCAGCCGCGGUAAUACGAAGGGUGCAAGCGUUAAUCGGAAUUACUGGGCGUAAAGCGCGCGUAGGUGGUUUUGUAAGUUGGAGGUGAAAUCCCCGGGCUCAACCUGGGAACUGCCUCCAAAACUGCAUGACUAGAGUACGGUAGAGGGUAGUGGAAUUUCCUGUGUAGCGGUGAAAUGCGUAGAUAUAGGAAGGAAUACCAGUGGCGAAGGCGACUACCUGGACUGAUACUGACACUGAGGUGCGAAAGCGUGGGGAGCAAACAGGAUUAGAAACCCGGGUAGUCC